rnacentral:rRNA from 1 species
GCUUCGGCUGUCACUUUAGGAUGGACCCGCGGCGCAUUAGCUUGUUGGUAAGGUAACGGCUUACCAAGGCGAUGAUACGUAGCCGACCUGAGAGGGUAAUCGGCCACAUUGGGACUGAGACACGGCCCAAACUCCUACGGGAGGCAGCAGUAGGGAAUCUUCCACAAUGGACGAAAGUCUGAUGGAGCAACGCCGCGUGAGUGAUGAAGGGUUUCGGCUCGUAAAACUCUGUUGUUGGAGAAGAACAGGUGUCAGAGUAACUGUUGACAUCUUGACGGUAUCCAACCAGAAAGCCACGGCUAACUACGUGCCAGCAGCCGCGGUAAUACGUAGGUGGCAAGCGUUGUCCGGAUUUAUUGGGCGUAAAGCGAGCGCAGGCGGUUUUUUAGGUCUGAUGUGAAAGCCUUCGGCUUAACCGGAGAAGUGCAUCGGAAACCGGGAGACUUGAGUGCAGAAGAGGACAGUGGAACUCCAUGUGUAGCGGUGAAAUGCGUAGAUAUAUGGAAGAACACCAGUGGCGAAGGCGGCUGUCUGGUCUGUAACUGACGCUGAGGCUCGAAAGCAUGGGUAGCGA